rnacentral:rRNA from 1 species
AGCGAACGCUGGCGGUAGGCCUAACACAUGCAAGUCGAACGGCAGCACAGUAAGAGCUUGCUCUUACGGGUGGCGAGUGGCGGACGGGUGAGGAAUACAUCGGAAUCUACUCUUUCGGGGGGGAUAACGUAGGUAAACUUACGCUAAUACCGCAUACGACCUACGGGUGUAAGCAGGGGAACUUCGGACCUUGCGCGAAUGAAUGAGCCGCGGUCGGAUUAGCUAGUUGGCGGGUUAAUGGCCCACCAAGGGGACGAUCCGUGGCUGGUCAGAGAGGAUGUUCGCCCCCACUGGAACUGGGACCCGCUCCAGACUCCUACGGGAGGCAGCAGAGGGGAAUAUUGGCCAUUGGGCGCAAGCCUGCUCCAGCCAUACCGCGUGGGUGAAGAAGGCCUUCGGGUUGUAAAGCCCGUUUGUUGGGAAAGAAAAGCAGCAGGUUAAUACCCCGCUGUUCUGACGGUACCCAAAGAAUAAGCACCGGCUAACUACGUG